rnacentral:lncRNA from 1 species
CCCUGCAUUAAGCGAUCAGAGAGCACAAUAUUUCAUUGCCGGCAAUCGCAGCCAAGACAUCAACUACUUGGGGAGAGCAGCCUUAAAAGCCUUUUGAUUUUAUUUCUUCCACUUCAUUUUUUUUUUCCCCUUUCCUUGCUGGUGUCCUUGACAGGGCCUCCCUUCCCGCCCUGCCACCCCUUCCUCAAUGCUCCCCUCCCACAAGGGGCCGGGGGCUGCAGGUCUGGGGGGGUGCCUGCAGGACCCCACAGUCUGACCUAGAGCAGUGCAUGUGUGCACAGGUGUGGAUGUGUAGCUGGGAGACUGCUGUGGUCCCCUGGGUCCCUUUCUGUGCACCAGGGCAGCACUGUGUAUACAUGUCUGGAAGCCUGCGCCUGUGGGCAUACACCUGUGUCCGAGUGGGCCCUGUGUGCACCCGCAUGUGCAUGCCUGGGUGUGUAGGCACACGCGCUGGCCUCACUGCACACACUCACCAGAAAACUCCACCAAGUGCCUUAAUCUGAUCCCCGAGGAACAACGCAGAGGCUUCACUCUGGAUGACAAACGAGGAGGGGAGAGGCCUGCCCUGCCUGGACUCCGGGCCCCAGCCAUGACCGUGUCAGCUAGACGACACCUGGAGCAAGUCCCCACAACCUGUUUUACUCCUGAGCGGGCUUUGUGCCUAGACCUGGGAAUCCUGACUCACUUUGGUAAAGCUAUCGACCUCUCCAAGCCUCAGUUUCCUCAUCUUCAGUUUGGGCAGAUCUUUAGGCUCAGUGGAGCCAAAACAUCACCACCUUCUCCUGCAGCGCUGCCCUCUGGUCCUACUCAGCCUCAUCUGUGCGGGCUGGUCCUACACUUUGCUCACUCGGGAUUUUACACAUGGGGCCUGCGUCUCUCACGGAGGGCCACCAGGAGGCGCCACACGCCUGCUCGGCCUCCCCGUGGGCCCCCCAGUCCACCCGGCCGGUCGGUCUGGAGGCGGGGCGUCCUCGGGGUCCGGGUGUGCACGGUCUGCGGUUCAGCCCCGGCUCUAGCACGUGGCCCGCGGAGCCGCGCACCCUUUCUCUCUCUUGAACCCCCAUCGGGUGGCGGGCGUCUCAUCCAACCCUCUCUGCGCGAUCCUGCUCCCUCUGCGCCCGCGGGCAUCCGAGGUCCAGGCUUCUGUCACCCCCUAGCCCUACCCGCGAAGUCCUCUGUCAUCCUGCGAGCACAGGACCCAGAGUGCUGUGCUGUGGUCCCCGUUCCCCCAGCUCCUAUCCCUCUCUGAAGGUUGGAUGAAUAAACUGCUCUCAAAGCUGGUUUGUUUGGCCA